rnacentral:tRNA from 5 species
AGGGGUAUAGCUCAGUUGGUAGAGCAUCGGUCUCCAAAACCGAGGGUCGUGAGUUCGAAUCUUACUGCCCCUGCCA